CCUACGGGUGGCAGCAGUGGGGAAUAUUGGGCAAUGGGCGAAACCCUGACCCAGCAACGCCGCGUGAAUGAAGAAGGCUUUCGGGUUGUAAAGUUCUUUACUCAGGGAAGAAGCAAAUGACGGUACCUGAAGAAUAAGCCACGGCUAACUACGUGCCAGCAGCCGCGGUAAUACGUAGGGGGCAAGCGUGCUCCGGAUUUACUGGGCGUAAAGGGGGCGUAGGCGGUUUAGCAAGUUAGAAGUGAAAUCCCGGGGCUCAACUCCGGGACUGCUUUUGAAACUGGUUUAAUUGAGUGCAGGAGAGGUAAGUGGAAUUCCUGGUGUAGCGGUGAAAUGCGUAGAUAUUAGGAGGAACACCAGAGGCGAAGGCGGCUUACUGGACUGAAACUGACGCUGAGGCUCGAAAGCGUGGGGAGCAAACAGGAUUAGAUACCCUUGUAGUC
rnacentral:rRNA from 1 species